AUUGAACGCUGGCGGCAGGCCUAACACAUGCAAGUCGAACGGCAGCGGGGAGUAGCUUGCUACUCUGCCGGCGAGUGGCGGACGGGUGAGUAAUGCCUGGGGAGCUGCCCAAUCGAGGGGGAUACCAGUUGGAAACGACUGCUAAUACCGCAUACGCCCUGAGGGGGAAAGGUGGGGAUCUUCGGACCUACCGCGAUUGGAUGCACCCAGGUGGGAUUAGCUAGUUGGUGAGGUAACGGCUCACCAAGGCGACGAUCUCUAGCUGGUCUGAGAGGAUGACCAGCCACACUGGAACUGAGACACGGUCCAGACUCCUACGGGAGGCAGCAGUGGGGAAUAUUGCACAAUGGGGGAAACCCUGAUGCAGCCAUGCCGCGUGUGU
rnacentral:rRNA from 1 species